AGCUUCGGUACGAGAUACGAAGCGUAAAGGUCAAAGGUACAGGUAAAAAUGCUCGGGAGUUGGGAGGGUGAGAAAGUCUGUAAGGAAGUGGCGUCUGAGCAGGUCUAGAGGGAUGGAUGUGGUUGGGAUAUGCAGGGAUAGGGAGGAGGAGCCAGCCUGAGUGAAGGUAAAGCCUCAACCAAAGGCAGAGUCAGGGUGUGAUACAGUUCGAUCUAGCAUGUAGCAGGAAAGUAAAUGCAGCCAAGCUAGAACAGCUUAUCCUCCCCCUUCAGCAAAUCAGACGGUGGUUACUACUACCACUUCAAAAUCAGAAGGAUUCAGUUUCCCCUUUUUCCACACCCAGUCUACUUUGCAUGUAACUUACCCUUCCCUGGCCCCAUAGAACAUUACAUCUGCUGUGACCUUCAGCUUACAGACCAAAGGAAUGAAUAAUGAAAGCAAACUAAAAUGUUUUCACUAGAUUGGUUUGAGAAAGCUAGAGGAAUUUUCACUCUUGACAAUCAGGCUUUAGAAUUGGAAAUUUGACAGAACAAGACCCUCCUCUUAAAAUGGAGGUGAUGGUGGUGGCGCUGAUUUUCUAAAGACUUUAACUUCUAGAUUAUGAAAGGAAAGCAUGUUCUUGCCAAAUCUGGGCCUUAGUUACAUCUGAAUAUAUACGUUGAAGGUAGGACACAUCCUCAGAGGUCAUCUAGUCCAAUCUCUCUCCUAAACAGAGUCCACUCUGUAGCACCCCAGCUGAUAAAUAAUGCAGCGUACACUUCAGUGCUCCAAGGGAAGAGAGGUCACUAUUUCAAAAGGCAGGCACAUCCACUGAGGUAAAACUUUGGAAUUCUUCUGUUUAGACUAAAAAUCACACUCACUGGAGCUUAAAAUGGAGCAAUACAGGAGUAGUCUUCCAUCUUUUUCAUGACGGCCCUUCAAAUAUUAGGUUGCAGUCUUCAUUACCCACUAAGUCUUCUCUGUUCACGUUAAACAUACUCCGUUCCUUUGAACAUCCCUUCUAUGCUGAUGUACAGUGGACCUUUCUGUGGUGAUGGAAAUGUUCUACAACCAUACUGUUCAGUAUAGUAGCCACUGUGAAUUGAGCAUUUGAAAUGUUGCUACUGUGACUGAGGAGCUUAAUUUUUUAAAUUGUAGUUCAGAUGUGGCUAGUGGUUACCGUAUACAAGCCACAACCUUGUAUUUUUAAAUGCAUUCUCCCUCUUGAUCAUUCACUUUUUUACAUGCAUUUGAGCUUCCACCAAAUGUCUAGCGCCUGCAAUUCAAUACUAACCAUACAGCCUUAGGGAUGACUGUUUGCACCUGGACAGUAUUUCUAUUAAUGCUUUCCAGAUGGAAUUUUUUUUUAAAUAUCCAGAGUAUAUGUGGUUCAUAAUGAUAAUCACUGGAACUAGUAUUUUGUCAGCAAUCGUAGUGCCUAAACUUGUAUCACUGCAUUUUUUAACCUAAACAUAAGACUUGACAUUUCAGCUUUUUGGCUUAGGCCCAGAAGUUGGGGUACUCCAGUUUAUCAUUUUCAAACUUGUUUCAGUAUAAUUUACCAACCAGCCAACUUUGUGUCAUUUAUAGAUUUGGCAUUACACCAUGUGACCCAUACGUAGUCCUUUACAAUUUACAAGGUACUUUUCAUAUGUUAUAUUUAAUUUGAUCCUUACAACAACCUUGUGAGGUAGGUAAGAUAUGAAAUCUACAUUUUAUAGAUAACACAGCUGAAUGAAGCAUAGCAGGAUCUGAAUGGAUGACGUCCUUUUUCUACUCCAUUGAACAUCUUCUUGUACAUUCUCUUCAGCCAUAUCCUUGAUAGAAAUGAUGAAGAGGACCUCCAGAGGCCAGGCUGACUCUGAAUUCUUAAAUAGCACUGACUGAUACAACAGUUUAAACAGGGGAGGGGUCAAUGAAAUUGAACCUUCUGUGACACUUCAGGAGAGGACAGAGCACAGCACUUUCAUAGAAUACUCCUAUCAUGUUUGCUGAAAUUUAAUUGCAAAGAGAUAAACUGGUACCUGAACCUAAGGUUGGUAGCAAUUCAGAAUUCUCAGCCCAUACAUGGGAAUUAAAAGUCCUGCUUUCUGUUAAGACCCAGAGUUAAUCUCCCAGAAUUUUCUCCUAACCUUUGCUUCCGGCCAAGAGCAGUUACCAAAUUAAUUCCCACACACUUCUCAUGUGGAGCCAGUCAUCAUCCCUGACAGCUCUUCUGUUCUACACCCUUGAAAGUCCUAGCCAAUGAGCUGAAUGAUACAUAGCUGACAUUCACAUUAUUGCUGAGCUAAUGAAGUAAGCAGUACCCCAGCUAUCUCUUGGAACUCUCCAGUUUGAAGCUCCUUAUUCAUCUUAGGUCUUGAAUCCCCUUGGAGAAAGAGAUACAGUGUAAUAGCUUCCAUCUUAAAAAGUGUAAACAAUAUAACCAUUUUCAUGUGCCCUCAAGCUCUUUAAACUGUAAUUCUACUUAUGAAAUCUGCACAGAGUAGGAAUUGGUAUAGCCUACGAAAGUGGGGGUUGAAAAACCGCAGCCAAACUGACUAUGAAUCGCCUACUUUGGGGAUUGAGUUCACUUGGUUAUUUUAUAAGCACCUUUGAAAUCAGGUAAUUUUCCCACUGGCCCUUUGUUCGAGGGGAAAAUGCUUCUUUACAUAAUUUUGACUCCGCAAAAACUGUAAGGAGAGAGGAAUUGGGAUCUCAAGGUCUUUAGCAAACGUGCUCGCUGCGACCGCUCGAGGCAAGGCAACGGAAGUCGGAGGGACUUUGCAACAGCUGCAAGAGUUUCACUCCCCGCCCGGAGAGCGGUAGUGUGAGCGAGGCUACCCCAACUCCGGUGCCGUCCGACAGCCAGACGUGCGCCAAUGCCUGCUGAACCCCGAGGCCCACCUAGCUGGACCCCAGACAGAUCCCACCUGUUCCCCUUCUUUCCCUACGCCUUGGCCCGUCGGGGGCUCAGCGCCAAAGAGCACGGCGUGGACACGAAGAACCCUCUCCUAGCCCAUGCUCACCCUUAGUCAGCGUGUCCAGCACCCCCGACUUCUCCAAGUACCUCCGGAACUGCUCGCGCUUCGAGUCGGCGGCCUGAGGAGACACGGCGGGUCAGUGGCCAAAGCCCAGGGGCCGGAGCAGGAAGAAGGCGCUGGGAGUCCGGCAACCCCGCCUCCGCCUCGCUACCUCAGGCCCCCAAAACCUGCGCGCGCGCCCCCAUUCCCACCCUCAGCCGACCAGCGGCUGGCGACCGCCCGCACGCCCCCAGCCACGCCGCGCCCCCCUCACUUUGUAAUGGGCCAUAGUGACAGCGGCAGCGGCGUAGCUGGCGCCCGAGACCGUGGCUGGCGGGCUCUGAGCCGCACUGCUCAUGCGCGGAAGGGCGCACGCGCCUGCGUACUUGCGGACCACGGUCCGAGAUCGCAGGGGUGUGGCCUGUUUUCAUGACGACCAGGACGCUGUGGGUGCCCCAUAGUGGGCUAAGCCGAGGGAGGCUGCGUACGCCCGCCUCUCUGCUCCCGGAGCAGCACCUCUCCUUCCUCUUCCGGUCCUUGCCGCGAUUCGGUUGCUUAGCGAGAGGCGAGGUUUUGGUAACUCCGGACGGGUGUCCAGGUGGGGCCAAAGAUGGGCGUGGCUUGCGGAGGCCGGUAGCGCGGGGACUGGAGCCGGGUGGGAUCUUCGCACACCCGUCUGGAGCAGACCUGUCUCAGCUGGGACCUCAUUAGGUGUGGCAACCUAUACAAGCCGGUUUCUUGGCUCUCAUGCUGAAAAGGUGCGCACGACCGACGCCGGGUAACCCUUGGAAAGAAUCUAUACCCUAACUGGGUGGUCAUCUGCAUGCCCCACUGAAACUGAUCUCCUGAGUUACGCCCAUCAAACAAAUCCACUUCCGGAGCGAUGUGAGUCCCAACCAUGAAUGCAGAGUACUCUUGGCACUUCAGAAUAUAUCCCCACUGCAAAAUCUCAUGUAUUCCUCAGAAUUACCUUAAGUAAAAAGAAGGCAAUGAUUAUGUUCCCAAUUCUUCUCAUCUUCAACCUCCCUAACAGACUUUCCUGUUGAAAUCUCUUCCUCCAUCUUUCAUUUCAAUCAUAAUUCAUUCACUGACUUCAUUCUCCUGCUCCCCAGACACAGGCAUUCCCUCUGCAUGCUUCAACAACACUCUUUUCUUUUUUAAGAUUUUAUUUAUUUAUUUGACAGGCAGAGAUCAAAAG